AACAAAUAAAUAGAAAUGUUUACCAGAUAUAGUAACUGACUAAAAUGUAUACUUACUGUUGGUGUAUAAGCAUGUGCUAUUACAUUUUAUUGCUGCUAUGCUGAAAUAUUGCUGCUGAUAUUGUUUCGUGUAUUAGACAAGAUGUUGUAUAUGUUGUGUUUGGAAGAUUUAAAAUGUCUUUGUCAUACGAAAGGCAGGCGUGUUCGUAGAGGCAACUUUUCAUUAAAUAUUUGUUAUUUUAUCUUCAACAGUGCAAAGGUUGUAUUUUAAAGUAUAAUAUUGCUGGAAUAAAAUAUCCAAGCUGAUUUGUCUGAUGCAAGUGUUCUUAUAAAUGUUGAGUUUUGCGGUGAUAAACUAUAUUUUAGCCCUACGUUACUAAAACUAUAACUAUAUUAUAAUAAACUACAUUACUUUAUUACAGAAACUAACCUAUUUUAGUGUUUAUCCCCUGCAUUGACUGCGACGACGCCUAUUGGUGGAUAUUCUGCAUGAGCUCAGCCAAUGACAGGCCCUCGUUUUCGUUGCAUGGUAACGCAUUCGCUGUUGAGUGUUUUCGUUCAAGGUUGUGCUGCAGGAGCCUGCAUCAAUGUAACGACGUGCCACAAUAGGACACUUUAUUACGCAAAUUAUCUGGGAAAGAUGUAUCAAUCCGUGCCGAAUGUCGGGAAAUGAUGCUGACAAACCUCACGAGUGCUCUUGAAUGCCAAAAGAUACGCGAACAUAUAGGCAUUACUGACUACAAUGUCUCCUUCAAGACUCUACACGGCAUCUGUCACGCCUCCUUUGCCUUUAAGCUCUUUCAACGUCUCAAGCAACUUCUGCACGGAAGAGAAUGUCUCUGAGUGCAUUCUAUACAUCAAUCAGGAGUUGUUGUCCCUGUGUUUUCCACCAAUUUUCCAAAACUCAGACAGCAUUAGUGAUCUGGAUGCUGUGGUUGCCCUAAACAACAUAUAUGACUUGCUUCAGCUCCACCGUCGAGCUGUUGGAAUGAUGGAGGAGCUGGAGGUGGAGCAGCUCAAGUCCAGCAGUGACCUCCACUACCAACAUCUCACCAACUCCAGGCUAAAGGACCAGCUUGAACUUUCGAAAAAGGAAAACAUGCGCUUGCAUGAGCGAGAGCGUCAGCUGGAAACAAAUGUAAAGACUUUGCAAAAUUGCCUAAAAGAUACAAAAGAAGAGGUACAACGGCUGCAGGGUAUCAUUGCAAGUCGUGCCACACAGUACAACCAUGACAUUAAGAGAAGAGAAAGGGAGCACAACAGAGUAAAAGAGCGCCUCAAUCAACUACUCAUUGCCAAAAAGGAAAAUAAACAAGGAAUGGAAGUUUUGAAUUAUGUUGGAAGGUCUGAUGGUAGGAGAUGUCUUUGGAAAACCGGAAAAACUGAAUCCAGACACGAGGGAGAUAUGUACAAAACUCUUCUUAAUGAAUUUGAUAACCGUCAGAGGGAGCUAAUGGUGGAAAACAUAGAGCUGAAGAAGGUGCUUCAGCAAGUAAAACGAGAAAUGGUGGGGGUUUUAAAUUCAAAGAAGAUGAGCCAAGAGGAAGAGAAGCAAAGCAAUGAUAUGGAUCAGUCAACUCUGCAGACAAAUUCUGAUGAAGAUGAACUUUUGAAAGGACAUCAUGAGAUGUCAUGUGAUCAUGCUCGGGAGAAACUCACCAACAGCAUUCGUCAGCAGUGGAGGAAACUCAAGCACCAUGUUGAGAGAUUAGACAGCCAAGCAUCCAUGGUGCAAGAUGGAGACAGUGAAGAGGUGAUCUCCAAACAACUUCAUGAAGAGGAGAUGGAGAGGCUCAAACUAGAAAUCCAGCAGUGUAAAGAGUUCAUUCAGACUCAACAGCAACUUCUCCAACAACAGCUCAACACUCCCUGUGAUGAGGAGACUGCAGCUGUUCUGAAUGACUCUUACAUGCUGGAAGAGAAGGAACGCUUGAAAGAAGAGUGGAAAGUGUUUGAAGAACAGAGGAAAAAUUUUGAAAUGGAAAGGAGAAAUUUCACAGAGGCUGCCAUCAGAUUGGGCCACGAGAGGAAAUGUUUUGAGGAUGAUCGUGCAAUGUGGAUCAAACAUCAGUUUCUUAACACAACAUUUGCAGACCAGAUGAAACCACAAAGUCGAAUGGCUGAUGAAUUUUCAAAGCAUUCUGGUCGUGAAGAAAAGCUCAUUUCAAUUUCUGGUAAAGUGAGCAAAUCUCAUCUGUAAUCCCAUCCAUGGAACUGCUUGCAGAUGAACCUACUUUUUUUUUUUCAACACCAGAGGAGAGAUACCAGGAACCAAUAUGAAUUAGUUGCUGAAAAUCCCAGUCUGUCAAGAUCCUUUCUCCAGGAGUGUGCGAGCCUAAAUCCAGUCAGCCCUGUCAGUGGUGUGUGUGUGUGUGUGCCAUCAGUCUGUCAUCCUCCACAACCCCAGUCCAAACCCAUCCUGGCAAGCGCUUUUCGCUGUUCCUACUACGGAAAGAACUGUCAUCCAUUCACGGGUCGAACUCAAGGAUUCCUCACACUAGAACUGUGACACUCACCCAUUCCUCCACAUCCAUUCAUUCUGCCACCCAGCUGUUCAAAAUAAACCACCUUCACUAUUGUUUACCUGGUUGUCCAUCUGCUUCCUUAACAGAAGCCCGGACCUAAAACGACAGCAAAACAGCAUGAGUGUUCCAGAUCCCUUCCAAGAGGUGGUGGAUUCUUUGAAGAGGGUAUUAACAUCCUCUCCUACCAUCAUGCCUCCUGCACCACCGGCACCACCACCACCAAGCACUUCUCCGGCCACCGCAUCUUCCAGUCCCAUGGCCCGACCGGCGCGGCGGAGGAGUGCAAUGUUUUUUUGCUUCAAUGCUCCCUUAUAUUCACGAUGCAACCAACUCUAUAUCCUCCGCCCAUCUGAAGCCGCCAGCCCUCCAGAACCAGAACCCAUGAUCAUUGAAUCUGGCAAAAUUACCGCUGCUGAGCGACAGAGGAGGCUGACCCGGGGUCUGUGUAUGUAUUGUGGAGCCAGUGGACAUGUUCGGUUGAACUGUCCAAUCCGUCCCAUACGAACAUCAGUGAGUGUUUUCCAUACUGAUGAUGAAAAAAUGCAUCCUCUCACUGUUUGUGUCCAGUUAACCACCCACACAUCCUCUGUUUAAGUUCACACUAUCAUCGACUCUGGGUCAGCAGGAAAAAUUUCAUCUCGGGGACCCUCUGUCACCAGCUCCAGCUCCGUACCAAAGCCUCGUCUAGUAUUUACCAGAUCCAACCCAUAACCAAGUUCAUCACUGCACGUCCACGUAUUCACCGGAAAUGUGAGACCAUUACACUUCAAAUCGGAGCCUUACACCAGGAAGAUAUUCAGCUGCUGGUUCUGGAGAUGUCAUACUUGGGCGGUCGUUGCUAGUGAAGCAUGAUCCCAUCAUCUCUUGGGGCUCCGGGGAAGUGAUGAAGUGGGGCAAGGAAUGCUCACCAAGAUGUUUCCCGAUUCUUCCUCAACCGAUUCCGAAUCCUAUACCUGUCAAUCUCACGUCAGUCGAAAGUCCACUCAAUAAACAGUUCAUGAAGAUUCCUGACAUCUACUCAUCUUUUCAAGACAUCUUCUGCCCCAAGAGAGCUUCCCAGCUACCAUCUCAUCGGCCAUGGGACUGCGCCAUUGACCUGAUUCCAAAUGCUCCGUUGCCCAGAGGAAAGAUCUACCCGUUGUCACUUCCAGAGACCAAGGCCAUGGAGGACUAUAUUCAGGAGGCUCUCAGUCAAGGGUAUAUUUGUCAUUCUACAUCCCCUGCAACAUCCAGUUUCUUUUUUGUGGCCAAAAAGGAUGGAGGGCUAUGGCCAUGCAUUGAUUACUGAACCCUUAACCAAAGCACCAUCAAAUCCAAAUAUCCCCUUCCUUUUGGCCCUGCGGCCCUCGAACAACUUAGAUCUACUACCAUCUUCACUAAGUUGGACCUCCGCAGCGCAUACAAUCUGGUGAGAAUACGUGAAGGGGAUGGAUGGAAGACCGCUUUUGUGACCCCAACUGGUCACUAUGAAUAUCUGGUUAUGCCCUGUGGUUUAGUCAACGCCCCUUCCGUUUUCCAAAACUUCAUACACAAAGUCCUCUGGGAGUUUCUGCAUCGCUUCAUGGUCGUUUAUAUAGAUGACAUUAGAGCCCUGCACAGGCCUCAAAUCUAGGCCCAAGCCCGGCCCUGGCCCGAGACGCUCAGGCCCUAGCCCGACCCGUGUCCGACAGCUCAUCAGAAUUAUCAGCCCGAGUCCGACACGAGCCCGUGUUUUUAUUUAUUUAUUUAUUUAUUUUAUUACACAGCGGGAGCCUGCCCUAUUUGCAACGAUUAAAAAAGGUGGCAGUUUUGUGUUAUGUUUCUUUUCAUUUCUUUAUCAAGUUAAUUUAGAAAAAUGUUUGGAGCAUUUAAAAAAAAAAAAGUACGAUUAACGUUAAACAGCCGAGCCGACAGCGAGUAGCCUAAAACAUGUUUAAUCAAUUAAGCCUCUCAAUAAAACUACAAUAAAAUCCAUAUAUAAAACACUUACAUCACACAGACAGUUAGUUUAAUAAAUGUUUGUUUAUUAAACCACAGUGAGUAAAAAAAAAAAAAAAAUUGAAAUACUGAGGCAGGCUCGCAACAGCGCUCGCAAACGAAAUGAGAAAUAGCCUACAAUCUAAACAAAAAAAUUAAUUAAAUAUUAAUCUUACCUCAAAAAUGAAAAGUUAGAACAGUCUCUUACAGAGCAUCGUGGAGAAAAAGAAUAGCCUCCAGAGAGGAAGGUUUUAACCCAGUCCUCCUCUCUUCUAUCACUCUUCCCGCUGUGCUUGAAGACACGUUCGCUGCUGCUGCUGACGGGACACUAAACACAUAGCGAGCCAGUCUUGACAGUUGCGGUAGCAGGGUCUCAUGCUGUUUACAUUUACAUUACUUUAGAGGCCUAUAAUAGCUACUACUACAAUAAGUAGAUAUAAGUGAAGUGUAAUCGUGGGUCGCGCUGACGGAAAAGCGCGCGUGCGUGCGUGCGCAAGACUGUAAUGUCAGUAUGUCAGUUUAAUUAUAACUGGUUGAAUUAUCAGAUUAUGAAAGUUAUGAGGUUAUGAAAUGUCUUUCUAUGUUUGUUUUUCUAUCGGCGGCGUCAACUUCUCAUUUUUUUAUGUAAUGUCUAAAAAUAUAAAUAGAAGGAUAACCCAAAAAAGGCCCGAGGCCCGGCCCGCAUGUGAGCUAUAACGUGAAAAUUGGCCCGAAGCCCGGCCCUAGGGGCAUAAAUAAGUCGGGGCCCGACAGGGGGUCCGCAUGGAUGAGAGGAAGGGGGCUGCAGUCACUACCUGGCCAGAACCGACCACGGUUAAAGAACUCCAGAAUUUCCUUGGAUUCACCAACUUUUGCAGACGUUUCACUCAGCUGUUCAAAAUAAACCACCUUCACUAUUGCUUACCUGGUUGUCCGUCUGCUUCCUUAACAUUCAUAAGAAUCAAGUGAUCUAUUGUGUCAAAAGUUUCACUUUAGUACAAUAAAAUUAGAACUGCAUUACAUGCAAAUGUAGACCUUUUUUGUGUUUUUGUAUUAAAGUACGCAAAAACAGUUAGCCAUUUUGGUAUGUACGU